rnacentral:rRNA from 1 species
UGGGCGUAAAGAGCUCGUAGGUGGUUUGUCGCGUUGUUCGUGAAAUCUCACGGCUUAACUGUGAGCGUGCGGGCGAUACGGGCAGACUUGAGUACUGCAGGGGAGACUGGAAUUCCUGGUGUAGCGGUGGAAUGCGCAGAUAUCAGGAGGAACACCGGUGGCGAAGGCGGGUCUCUGGGCAGUAACUGACGCUGAGGAGCGAAAGCGUGGGGAGCGAACAGGAUUAGAUACCCUGGUAGUCCACGCCGUAAACGGUGGGUACUAGGUGUGGGUUUCCUUCCUUGGGAUCCGUGCCGUAGCUAACGCAUUAAGUACCCCGCCUGGGGAGUACGGCCGCAAGGCUAAAACUCAAAGAAAUUGACGGGGGCCCGCACAAGCGGCGGAGCAUGUGGAUUAAUUCGAUGCAACGCGAAGAACCUUACCUGGGUUUGACAUGCACAGGACGCCGGCAGAGAUGUCGGUUCCCUUGUGGCCUGUGUGCAGGUGGUGCAUGGCUGUCGUCAGCUCGUGUCGUGAGAUGUUGGGUUAAGUCCCGCAACGAGCGCAACCCUUGUCUCAUGUUGCCAGCGGGUAAUGCCGGGGACUCGUGAGAGACUGCCGGGGUCAACUCGGAGGAAGGUGGGGAUGACGUCAAGUCAUCAUGCCCCUUAUGUCCAGGGCUUCACACAUGCUACAAUGGCCGGUACAAAGGGCUGCGAUGCCGCGAGGUUAAGCGAAUCCUUUUAAAGCCGGUCUCAGUUCGGAUCGGGGUCUGCAACUCGACCCCGUGAAGUCGGAGUCGCUAGUAAUCGCAG